UACGUAGGUGGCAAGCGUUAUCCGGAAUUAUUGGGCGUAAAGCGCGCGUAGGCGGUUUUUUAAGUCUGAUGUGAAAGCCCACGGCUCAACCGUGGAGGGUCAUUGGAAACUGGAAAACUUGAGUGCAGAAGAGGAAAGUGGAAUUCCAUGUGUAGCGGUGAAAUGCGCAGAGAUAUGGGGGAACACCAGUGGCGAAGGCGACUUUCUGGUCUGUAACUGACGCUGAUGUGCGAAAGCGUGGGGAUCAAACAGGAUUAGA
rnacentral:rRNA from 1 species